AAAAGCCAAGAGAGAAGAGUCUACAAGUGAAUAGAUUGGAGAACGAACAAGAAGAAGAAAAUGUUAGCUCAGAAUUAAGCAAGCAAAAGACAAUUGUCUCAAUCACAGGAGAAUAUGAGCAGGAAUGUACAUCAAAUGAGACAUUAGAGCAAUAACCCUUAAAGAAGAAUGAGGUAGCAGAGAAUGAGGCAGCAAUAUAAUAAAAGGAUAGACUAGAAGAACGUCAUAGCCAAGAGGGCAAAAAAGUCCCAACGAUAAGAAAAAUAUCAAAACAGAAGAAGAUGGAUAAAAGAGACGCAGUGGAAGACAUCAGCAGGAAAGAAGACAUGUCCCCAAGACAAACAAGUCAACUGAAAGUUAGGACAAAGAAGCUUGCAGAAGAGCAUUGGAAGUUGGAAAGUGAUGCAGGGCCCCCAUUUGCUAUAGUUCAUGAAAGUUAAAAAAGGUAAAGUCUGCUCUUGCUCGAUGGAGCAAGAACACUUUUGGUAAUGUUUUUCAAUAGGUUGCUACUUUGGAAGACAUUAUCAAAGCAAUGGAGGUGCAACUGGAGAACUCCUCAUCCCAUGAGAAUAGGGCAGCACUUAGCAAGGCAGAAACUGAUUUGAAAAGGUAUUUGCAUAGAGGGGAAUUCUAGAAACAAAAAUCAGGCAUGAGGUGGUUCAAGAAUGAAUAAAAAAAUAUCGAGUUCUUUUAGUAUUAUGUUAAAUAAAGAAGAACGAAGUUAAAUGUUUUUAAGAUACAAACCAGACAAGGGGGUAUAAUCACAUCAACCCAGAAUAUUAGUGAAGAGGCAGUUGCAGUUUUCAUGGAAUAAUUCGAAGACACUCAAGAAGAGAAUGAUUUUUCUAUGGUACAGUGCAUCCCAAACCUCAUUUCAAGGGAGCAAAAUGGAGCGCUGUAGAAGAGGCCCACAAAAUAUGAAGUCAAACAUGUGAUUUUUUUCCUUAAUUGAAGAUAGUACAAAUGGUCUUGAUGGUCUCUCAAGGUAAUUUUUCAAAAAUAUCUGAAACAUUAUCAAGGAGGACAUCACUACCAUGGUGAAAGCUUUCUUUUGUGGCCAAUAACUACCUAGCACUUGGAACAAUUUAUCAAGGCAAGAAUACCAAGUAUCACCUCACUUAUCAAUUAAAACAUAGAUGAACUUGAAGCGGAAUUGGACCACCUUGGAAGGCCUAUUGCUGUUGAUGCAGGCGUAUGUAAUCUUUAAAAUGGUCGAGGAAUUAAAUUCUAACGUUUCCCAAAAGUGGACCAUAUGUUGGAUGAUGACUACUCUGAUCAAGAAACCUUCAUCUCACUCAAAUGUGCAAGAUUGUAUGACCGCCUCAUGACAAACAUUUUAACAAGGAAAAGAGGCAACCUUUGGAGAAGCUUCAAACCCACUGGCUUAAUUUUUAUAGGAUAUUGGUUGAUAGUUGUUGCAUGUGUUUCAUUGGGGAUCCAAUUGAGAAAAGUUUUCAAAAUGUAAAAGAGUUCUAUGCUAAUGUUGUCUAUUUCAAGCUCAACUGUAUACUAUUUUUGAACUUUGUCGUUCUUUUGAUAAGAUAUUUAAGGAGCAUCUAGAUGGAGGGUAAGUGGAUUUUUUUCCCUUUAUUUCCAAAAUUAGGGAAACUAGGCCAAAGAAUGUGCUAGUUUGCCAUAUUGUGGUUAUUUUCUCUUAAGUGUUAGAAAAUUUGCCUGACCCACAUUGAUGUGCAAGAGUCUCUAAAGGGGUUUAAUUAUAUUUGUUUACUCAUUUCAUAUCCUUAAGGUUUGUCGGUUGGACCUUUUGGAUUCAUUCGCAUGACGUUAGUACCGAAAUUUGGAAAGCUCAUCUCUCCUUACAUGUUUUGUUUGCACCUACCUUUUCUCUUUCAACUCAACUUCUGUCUAUGGUACUUCUUUGGUUUUUGUUUGUUUUUUUGGGGGGGGGGGGGGGGGGGGGUGUAGAGUGGAAAGAUGAUUUUUGUUAAAGGGUGAAAAGAGACCACCAAAUCUAACUUUCAGUAUCGUAAGUACUUCAAAAAAUCAAAGAAACCAUAGUGGAGAACCAUAAAGCACAAGAAAAUUUGAAACACAAGGAGGACUUUGGCAAAGGGUGAAAAGAGAUCACCAAUAAAACUCAAGGAAUUGACAACACAUUUCAGUAGACAUGCCACACACAUCUAUCUUGUCUGUAAGGAUAACCUUGCUUGUACUGAUUCAAGAUGAAUUUCCAGUUUAUUGCUCUUAACCUAGACUUUAUUUAACAUGUAUUUUCUCUUUUUGGUAAUCAUUCAACCUGGUGAUGAUCGAAUUUAUGGAGUUUUUGACAACCAACUACCUGCUGCUUUGAGAAAACUCCCCUUUGACCAAUAUCUCUCUGUGCAAAAUGUGAGGAAAGUUGUUUCAGAGGCAGACGGUUACCAGCCUCGCUUGAUAGCACCUGAGCAAGGUUAUAGACGGCUAAUUAAGGGGGCCUUAAAUUAUUUUAGAGGCCCAGCUGAAGCGUCUGUUGAUGCUGUAAAUAACCUUUCAAAAUUUAUCAGUGUCAAAUCGUGAUUGCUUGUUAUCAACAGGAGUAAAUAUUGUCUUUUAUCACAAUUUACCUACAUGUUUCAAAUCUUUUCUUCUUUUCAACACUUAUGUGCGCAGUGAAAAGGCAUCAUAUAAAAUGAAACAGAGGGAGUAGGUCAUAUGAUUCAAUGUAUCAUCUUGAACAUACCAUCCUUUGUUAUUAUCAGUUGCAGGUGAGAUAGACUAUUGUGAUCAAUAUAUGCAUGGAUGUGGAGCUCAUACAGACUAUGGAAUGAUAACUAUCUUAAUGACCGACGGUGUUCCUAGACUUCAGGCAUGUUACAAAGAGUUGAUUUCUCAUGUGGUCACUCAACUAAUAGUUAUUCUCAAAUUAAGAUAAUAACUAUUAGUUGAGUAACUAAGCAAGAAAUCUACCCAUAUUAAAAAUGUCUAGUUGACGCGAAAACAGUAAAUGCAUAGAGUAUUGAUAAUUCUAGCAUUUCAUCUGUAUUCUGCCUUUUAUCAGGUUUGCAGAGAUAAAUUACAGAAACCUCAGAUUUGGGAAGAUGUGUCUCAGCUGAAUGGAGAAUUGGAGAUAUGGGCCGGAGAGUCAGCUAUGGAGGAGGGCAAAGUUCAUUGGGAUACUUAUUUGGAAGCGGUGAGGCGCCAAAAUCAACCACGACAAAUGCACUAGUUGUUCAAAGUGAAGGGCCGACAAUAAAUAAGGAGCCAGCUUCAAAGCCUGCUGGUUCUGCUGCAGUUGACGCUACUAAGCAAAUUCCUGCUGGUAUUCAGAGCACCGCUUCGAGAAACCAUUUUGGGUCAGAUGGUCAAAACAAAGGCAACUUUAUCACGCCAAGUGAUGCGGCUAGUGGACCCAUUUCGCCAUGGAUGCAAGGAGACCACAUGAUGAUAGUGAUCCUAAUGAUAGUCGUUGAUUUCGUUGCAAAUUGUCUUGGAUAUUCAAUUAUGAUAUGUAAUUGUGUGGUUGGAGUGAAUCUUAGAAUAUUGAAGGUUUUGUGUUUAAAUUUGAUUUUGGAGUUUGAAGAUACUAGUUAAUGUUGAAAAUUUGAAUUUUGAAGAUGCUAAUGUUAAAAUUUAAUUUUGAAGUUUAA